rnacentral:rRNA from 1 species
AGCUCGUAGUUGGAUUUCUGUGGUAGGCAGCCGGUCCACACUAUGUGUGAGUAUCUGGUUCGGCUACUGCAUCCUCCUGAGGAACGUUGGUGCGCUUCACUGCGUGGCACGGUAUUCAGGACUUUUACUUUGAGGGAAUUAGAGUGUUCACGGCAGGCGUUUGCCCUGAAUAUAUUAGCAUGGAAUAAUGAUAUAGGGUCCACGUCCUAUUUUGUUGGUUUCUAGGACGAGGAUAAUGAUUAAUAGGGAUAAUUGGGGGCAUUCGUAUUAAGACGUCAGAGGUGGAAUUCUUGGAUUGUCUUACGACGAACUACUGCGAAAGCAUUUGCCAAGGAUGUUUUCAUUGAUCAAGAACGAAAGUAAGGGGAUCGAAGACGAUUAGAUACCGUCGUAUUUUUUACCAUAAACUAUGCCGACUAGAGAUUGGGCGUCGUUCUUUGUAUGACUCGCUCAGCACCUUAUGAGAAAUCAAAGUUUUUGGGUUCCGGGGGGAGUAUGGUCGCAAGGCUGGAACUUAAAGGAAUUGACGGAAGGGCACCACCAGGAGUGGAGCCUGCGGCUUAAUUUGACCCUACACGGGAAAACUCACCAGGUCCAGACAUAGUAAGGAUUGACAGAUUGAUAGCUCUUUCUUGAUCCUAUGGGUGGUGGUGCAUGGCCGUUCUUAGUUGGUGGAGUGAUUUGUCAGGUUAAUUCCGUUAACGAACGAGACCUUAUCCUGCUAAAUAGCGCAACGUAUCUUCGGAUAUGUAGUUCGCUUCUUAGAGGGACUUUGUGUUUUUCAGCGCAAGGAAGUUUGAGGCAAUAACUGGUCUGUGAUGCCCUUAGAUGUUCUGGGCUGCACGCGCGCUACACUGAUGCGUUCAGCGAGUUUA